AGACUACACAGAGGAUGAGAGUGCUGAAUCAAGUAGCUUCAGAGCCCUCAGGAUGCUCGUCCAGUAUCUCCCCCCUACUGCAUCAGGACGGAGUAAAGGGUGGACCAAAUGCAGUGUAAAGGCGGCAAUGGCCUACAUGUUGGAGAUAAAGCCAAUGGGAACCAGCAUCACGUCACUUCUUCAAACCAGUGGCACGGUCUGUGAUUCGUCAAA